rnacentral:lncRNA from 1 species
UCUUUUCUCUUCAUUCUCUAAUGAAAAAGUCCAGAGAAAUUCCCCAAAAGUUGAAAACAGAAUGUGCUUGCCCAGCUCCGGUGUGAUCCUUAUGACAUACAAGGUCUUUAUGUUUGGUUUCUUUCCUUUGAUGUGAAUGAACUUGCCUGGAGUGAAGUGAUUAGUCAUGACUUGAAUGGCUCCAUCUUGGUAGUGUCGGUGGCUGAGUACCUAUCUAUAGCUCUUCAUGCCUCAGUAGGGGGUUGUAUGUAGGAGCUGCAAGGAAAGAUUUGCUGAUAUGUAAAGAAACCUUUGGAGAGCCAAACCACAACAGUAUGGAACAAACAACUAUGUUUGGGUUUGAUUCUUAACAAAACCAUGCUCUUUGUUUUGUAAGUUUUACUGACAAAGAUAAAA